CUGAAACCGUGUACGUACAAGCAGUGGGAGCACGCUUAGGCGUGUGACUGCGUACCUUUUGUAUAAUGGGUCAGCGACUUAUAUUCUGUAGCAAGGUUAACCGAAUAGGGGAGCCGAAGGGAAACCGAGUCUUAACUGGGCGUUAAGUUGCAGGGUAUAGACCCGAAACCCGGUGAUCUAGCCAUGGGCAGGUUGAAGGUUGGGUAACACUAACUGGAGGACCGAACCGACUAAUGUUGAAAAAUUAGCGGAUGACUUGUGGCUGGGGGUGAAAGGCCAAUCAAACCGGGAGAUAGCUGGUUCUCCCCGAAAGCUAUUUAGGUAGCGCCUCGUGAAUUCAUCUCCGGGGGUAGAGCACUGUUUCGGCAAGGGGGUCAUCCCGACUUACCAACCCGAUGCAAACUGCGAAUACCGGAGAAUGUUAUCACGGGAGACACACGGCGGGUGCUAACGUCCGUCGUGAAGAGGGAAACAACCCAGACCGCCAGCUAAGGUCCCAAAGUCAUGGUUAAGUGGGAAACGAUGUGGGAAGGCCCAGACAGCCAGGAUGUUGGCUUAGAAGCAGCCAUCAUUUAAAGAAAGCGUAAUAGCUCACUGGUCGAGUCGGCCUGCGCGGAAGAUGUAACGGGGCUAAACCAUGCACCGAAGCUGCGGCAGCGACGCUGAUGCGUUGUUGGGUAGGGGAGCGUUCUGUAAGCCUGUGA
rnacentral:rRNA from 1 species